AGAAAGGUACCUUUCCCUGUAUGGGAUGUGUCUGUUGUUCGUCUGUGACCAAAGGAGACACAGUGUACCAUCCCAUCACUGGAAAGAAAUACAAGUUGUAUUCCUAUGCCACUUGUGAUACGGCGGGGGUGGUAUAUCUUUUAAAGUGUCCCUGCGGAAUGGUGUACGUAGGUCAAACGUCCAGGCAAGUGAAAGAGCGAAUUAAAGAACAUAAGGCUGACAUUCGUAACUUUAAACCUAACACACAAACAGACACGUCAGUAUCUCACCACUUUCAUGACAAAGUACACAAUCAGGCCCAACUAAAAUGGCAGGUAUUGGAAGUGGUACGUAGACCCGAAAGAGGGGGGAGUUUAACCAAGGUACUACUCCAACAAGAAGCCAGGUGGAUUAAAAAACUGAAUAGCUUGAAACCAGAAGGUCUAAACGACUAUUGGAGUGUGAGUAGUUUUCUUUAAACAAUGUUGCUAGGAUUGAAUAUAUUGCAACAUUUUACUUGAAACUUAAUAGUUGCGACUAUACAUGAUGUAUUUAACACACUCUUCCUUUCUUCUAGAUAACAGAAAAAUAAUAUUCUGAAUAAUGGUUUUUGCAACAAGGCAUAAGGGUACAAAUGUGGACUUUUAAUUAUGAACUUUUACACUGGAAACGAGGAGGAUGGAGAGACGCACGAAACGGGACUUUUUAUACACUUUUUAUAUUUUAUAUCUUUUUCACUGGAAAUGUUUGUUCACUUGAUCUGUUUUAAUAUGGACAGAAUCUAUUUGGUGGCUAGGCAAACAAAAUUGGAUCCCUUAGCAGUUGCCACCUGCACCAUGAAUGGAAGGGGAGGGGCUAAUGGUUUAAAUGUUCACAACUGUGUAGAUUUUGUAACACUUGACAAAGAGCGCCAGCUCGAAACAUGUAGUGGAAUAAAAGAGCACCUGGAAUUUUUGCAGUAA